rnacentral:rRNA from 1 species
AACGCGAAGAACCUUACCUGGGUUUGACAUACACCGGAUCGCCGCAGAGAUGUGGCUUCCCUUGUGGUCGGUGUACAGGUGGUGCAUGGCUGUCGUCAGCUCGUGUCGUGAGAUGUUGGGUUAAGUCCCGCAACGAGCGCAACCCUUGUCUUAUGUUGCCAGCACGUAAUGGUGGGGACUCGUAAGAGACUGCCGGGGUCAACUCGGAGGAAGGUGGGGACGACGUCAAGUCAUCAUGCCCCUUAUGUCCAGGGCUUCACACAUGCUACAAUGGUCGGUACAGAGGGCUGCGAGACCGUGAGGUUAAGCGAAUCCCUUAAAGCCGGCCUCAGUUCGGAUUGGGGUCUGCAACUCGACCCCAUGAAGUCGGAGUCGCUAGUAAUCGCAGAUCAGCAACGCUGCGGUGAAUACGUUCCCGGGCCUUGUACACACCG